GAUGAACGCUGGCGGCGUGCCUAACACAUGCAAGUCGAGCGAUCUUCUUCGGAGAAGAGCGGCGGACGGGUGAGUAACGCGUGGGUAACCUGCCCUGUACACACGGAUAACAUACCGAAAGGUAUGCUAAUACGAGAUAAUAUACUUUUAUCGCAUGGUAGAAGUAUCAAAGCUUUUGCGGUACAGGAUGGACCCGCGUCUGAUUAGCUAGUUGGUAAGGUAACGGCUUACCAAGGCGACGAUCAGUAGCCGACCUGAGAGGGUGAUCGGCCACAUUGGAACUGAGACACGGUCCAAACUCCUACGGGAGGCAGCAGUGGGGAAUAUUGCACAAUGGGCGAAAGCCUGAUGCAGCAACGCCGCGUGAGCGAUGAAGGCCUUCGGGUCGCAAAGCUCUGUCCUCAAGGAAGAUAAUGACGGUACUUGAGGAGGAAGCCCCGGCUAACUACGUGCCAGCAGCCGCGGUAA
rnacentral:rRNA from 1 species